rnacentral:lncRNA from 1 species
GUUUUCGCAGCCGUACGUCGGUUGGGGAGAUUUGUUCUGUGAUCGAGUUGAGCCUCAUGCGAGCGACUCCGCUACAACUUCACGCGCAGUAACUCGUAGUCAGUGGACCGCGUGAACGUGGAGAUCAGGGUACUCAGUGCGAUAUUACAGUACAGAAUUCAACCCUGCGGCUGAUUCAGGUUUUCGCUGAAACAGAGAGAAGAAGUCGUCAGUGAGUGGAUGGUCAUUUUAUGCGAGGCUUCAUGUUUAAUUUUAACCUUUUGCUUAAAAACCAAAACUUAUCGGUUUCCUCUUCAACAGGCAAAUUGUUAGGUUCAUAUACCCUUCUAUUGUUAGGAUUAAAAUUUCAGUCUCUUUUCACUCUCCUUCCGGGGUCUCUGCUCUGGGUCCGCUAAUAGAGCUUGCCGUCAGUUUUGUCUAUCCGUUAGGUACGAAAGCGUUCCAGUAGUCUCCGGACACGCAUCUUUGCUGAAUGUUGACAGCGGCAUCCUUGCUCUGUGUGUGUCUCCUGUCGCUUCAGUUUUGGACACAGAACGUACGUCGAAUUUUUAUUUGUCACCUCGCUGACCUUGCAAGGGCCGUUCCCCUCAGCGCUCCAGUGUCCAACAGUCUGCGUAGCUCAGUUUGCUGCGUCGAUGUGCCCAAGUGAAAAGCUGCUCCUGGUAUGCAUCAAUACGACAGACGCUGACGGGAGCCCUUCGCUUGAUGGAGCAGACGCGCCCUAUUGAAAUCCAGGUGUGCGAAUUCAGCAUAAAUAGUGUUUCACAGCCUGCCGGCUUGGUCUCAGUGUGGCGUUGCAUCACCGACCGCGAUAAAUGCUGAACAGUAAAGCCCGAGUGAUGCAGAAGGUCACAGCUUAUCAUCUGUCCGAAUGCUGCAUAUUGAACAGCUUAUUAGCAGUCUGCCCGCGCGCCUACCUGUAUCAAACGGUGAACGGACUGGCAACGUCACUUGCACGUUCUGAACUGUUGGCCCGGUCCGGUAGCCGUACAGUCGUUUCAUUGCUUCGCUGUAUCUGGUGCCGCCGCUCUUUUCAAGCGUGGCAGUGCAUGCCAGAAGAAACAGACAUUUCACGUUGGGGCUGUGGCUGCCUGAGCAGCCCUUUUGUCGUAUCAUUCAUUUCUCUGCAGCUCUCCUCCAUGUGGGAGGCGUGUUGUCUCAUCAAUUCCUUCUUUUGGUUUUAUCUGCACGCAAACCGUAAGUUCCUGUUUGCGAUAGCAGCCGCCACAGCUCUUGUCGUGAGUUCUGGCACAAGAGAGUGGAGCUACACAGUCGGUUCCGUCAGACUAUUUAGGGCCUCAUGCUCCUCUUCCUCCUGGCAGCGGAGUUAUCUGCCAGGUGUGGUCGAUCUGCGUCGGUCACCCAUAUCUGUUUAUGUACUCACCUGCUUUACACACGCUCAUGCAGGUUGCACAUCUACAGUCAGACUAGCAUAUUACUCGGCCUUCAACAAGAACUAUCUUGCUCAAUUUAGGCAGUGGAUUGUUGUCAUAGUCAAAUUUACAGUUGGGGAGAGCCGUCUGUCACUAACAGUGAUAAUCAAAGUCGGUGGGCAUGUGGUUCUCCUUCGUGUGUGUCUGCUGUGUCCUACAGAGAGUUGCCGCUGCU